GCCCCCGGGUGGGCGGGGCCACGUUGCCCAGCAGUGGGCGGUGAUUGGCCCCGGGCCGUGCAUUCGCAGCUCGUGCGUCACGACGCCGCCAGCUGAUCGGAGCCUGGAGCCGGUGUGUGCUGGGUGCCGAGAAGAGACAGCGCCGCCGGCCGUGGGGAGCGGACGCAGUGAUUUGCUCCCCCUCGUGCAGCAACCCCCACACCCAGCACCAGGAGCCUGUUCCUCUCACGCCCUCACCUGGCUGAGCCGCAGUAGUUCUUCAGUGGCAAGCUUUAUGUCCUGACCCAGCUAAAGCUGCCAGUUGAAGAACUGUUGCCCUCUGCCCCUGGCUUCGAGGAGGAGGAGGAGCUGCUUUCCCCAUCAUCUGGAAGCAUCUCCCUCCAGCCCUCGCUAUGUGCCUCUGCCAUCUUCACCCAUCAUGGAGCAGAGGUGAGGAGAGGCAGCCUGGGAAUAUGGAGACCAGUGAAGGACCAGGCCUGGAGAGCACAGGGUCCUACCUGGGCAUCCAGCAGAGGAGCCCCUAAAGGCCAGGAGCACCCCAAGAGGAGGGAGGGCAGCCAGCCUCCAUUGACGGCGAGCCUCCAGCCCUCUCCUACUUUGAUCACCAUUUCUCUCCAGGCUUUCUGCCUCCGAGAUGUGGCACCAUAGUGCGGUGCCCUGUGGCUUCACCGCCCUACUUCCACCUCCGCCCAGCCUGUAAUGUUUAUAUAAGCAGCCUCAAGGACCAAGAACCAUCUGCGAAAGGACACACACAGGAAAUUCAUAAAAGAAAUCUGAAUGGAUAAAACCAUGAAAAAAAGUAUGCUUCAUUAGUAAUUAAAGAAAGGCAAAUAGAGCUGGAAGCAUUUUUCCCUUAGCAAACCAUAACAGAAAAAAAUAAGACCCAAUAUUGGCAAAGAGACUACUGAAAAAACAUUCCCAUACAUUGCGUGUGGGAGUAUACAUCGGUGCAGGCUUCCUGGAUGACAGUUGGGUGAUAUGUGUCAUGUGGCCUAAAAGCCUCCAUGUCAUUUGACCUACGAAUUCUAUCUUUGGGAAUUUAUCCUAAGAAAAUACUUAAGGAUUUAGUUAGUGAUAAGAUGUUCAUCCCAGCAUUGCAAUGGAGAAAAAUGGGAAGCAAUGGUUUGGUUGGGAAUUUAUUCCUUUUCUGCUGUAACGAAAGUUUGCAAUAGGGGAUUGCUUAAGUAAAUUAUUGUAUCUCCAUCCAGAUGGUGGAGUACCGCGCAGACAUUAAAAGUCAUGUAAAAGAACAUCUGACUGAAAGAAAAAUGCUCCUUGAAUAUUAAAAGGUUGUAAAAAUAGUGCAUGUUAUGUGAUUUCAAUUUUGUUUUUUAAAAUAUGGGUGUAUGCUUGUAUACGUAGAGCAGAUAAAAAAGACGGAAGGCAUACUAAAAAAUGUUGAGUGGUUAUCUUUGUAUGGUGGAACAAAGUCACUGUAAUUUUCAUCUUUGGUUUUUCUGUAAUUUCCAAAUUUUCCACAUUUUGUAUUUCAUAUAAUA
rnacentral:lncRNA from 1 species